UAGGGAAUAUUAGUAAUGGGCGAAAGCCUGAACUAGCAACGCCGCGUGUGCGAAGAAGGCCUUCGGGUUGUAAAGCACUUUUUGAGAGGAUGAGGAAGGACGGUACUCUCAGAAUAAGUCUCGGCUAACUACGUGCCAGCAGCCGCGGUAACACGUAGGAGGCGAACGUUAUCCGGAUUUACUGGGCGUAAAGCGCGUGUAGGUGGUUUGGUAAGUAGGGCGUGAAAGCUCCUGGCUCAACUGGGAGAGGCCGUUCUAAACUGCCGGACUAGAGGAUGGGAGGGGGAGGUGGAAUUCCCGGUGUUGCGGUGGAAUGGGGAGGUAUUCGGAGGAACACCAGUGGCGAAAGCGGCCUCCUGGACCACUCCUGACACUCAGACGCGAAAGCUAGGGUAGCAAACGG
rnacentral:rRNA from 1 species